rnacentral:rRNA from 1 species
UAAUACGGAGGGGGCUAGCGUUGUUCGGAAUUACUGGGCGUAAAGCGCACGUAGGCGGAUUGGCAAGUUGGGGGUGAAAUCCCGGGGCUCAACCCCGGAACUGCCUCCAAAACUUUCAGUCUUGAGUCCGAGAGAGGUGAGUGGAAUUCCGAGUGUAGAGGUGAAAUUCGUAGAUAUUCGGAGGAACACCAGUGGCGAAGGCGGCUCACUGGCUCGGUACUGACGCUGAGGUGCGAAAGCGUGGGGAGCAAACAGG